rnacentral:misc_RNA from 1 species
CAACAACCAAAGGCAAAGCCAAAAACUAAUGAAGCCAAGAAGGAUCUCACGAAUGUUCGGGUCAUUCAACGUAAAAUGGCAUAUGUGAUUGGCCUGCCUCUAAGUCUUGCAGAUGAAGAUCUUUUACAGCGGAAGGAAUAUUUUGGGCAGUAUGGAAAAGUUACCAAAAUUUCUCUCUCUAGGACAACUGGUGGUGCCAUCCAGCAAUUUGUUAAUGAUACUUGUAGUGUAUAUAUUACAUAUUCAAAAGAAGAGGAGGCCGUGCGGUGUAUUCAGUUUGUACAUGGUUUUGUCUUGGAAGAUAGAUAUUUGAG